GUGAAAUUCAGAAUAGCAUUGUUGCAACUGGAGACUUACAGAAGGACCACGGAAGGUCUUCUUCACAAACCACAGUACAGAAAGGAAUAAUUAAAAAUCAACCAACCAAACUACAUACACGCUUCAGAGUAUCACCACAGGGACACUCUCAGCUUAAUUUUAAACAGUUUCCAAGGAAAGGCAUAUCUGCUCCUGAUCAGUCUGGUGACAAAUGAUAAACCUUGUUAAAAAG